GAUAAAGCAGUAGAAGAAGAAGAAGAUGAUUUCCCAGAUUUCAGCAUCUGAGUAUUUAUUAGUUAGUACAACAUUAUACAAGUAGUGGUGGGACAAGAAACUACAGCAGGAGAUGGGGAAACGUUUCCUGUGGAAUGAAGUCAUCGCUGUUUGAGUUUAAAGUUUGUAGUUUGAAACAGGCCUUUGUUACAUAACUCCUGCCUUGGUAGUCGUCCAUCUGGGAGUACUCUAUUGGCACGCACAAACAUGUGUGAGAGAGUGUCAGAGUGUGUGGGUGAGAGCAAGAUGGAGACAAGAGUGACUGUGUGUGUGUGUGUAUGUGGGUGUAUGUCUAUCAGCUUCAAGUGCAUUUAAUGCAACGUUAAAGUCUUUAAUUUCACAAUUCAUGUAUUUUACACCUGAUGCUAUGAAUAGAAUGGCAGUGCACCGAAGCCAUUUUUUUUGUCUUGUCCUCGGUCCAAAAAGGUAUUUUACAUGGUAAAUUUGUGCAUUUGUGUGUGUGUGAGUGUGUGUGUGCGCGGGCAGUAGCAGGCUGGUGGGUGGGCGGCUUACUGCCUUCCUUCCCUCCGCAGUCAGAGACACUUCCACAGCGUUUGCUACCAGAGCCAUUCACAGCCUUCACUGACAGGAUGCAGGCCAAGCUGGAGCUGCUAUUGCUUGGCUUCAGGAAAAACCCACUUGGUUCCAGCAUCGUAGGCUGCAUUAGUGUCACCAUUACUCAGCCUCUUAGGAGGAGGAGGAGGAGCUCGGUCAUAAAUCUGUGGUCGUGGCAGCGUGUCAUAACACGACCCCUUACAUGCACAGGUCUGCAUGCAAGAAUACGAUUAUGGUAUGUAUAAAAAGCUCAUUCGGGAUCAGACAAUUGAAUGUGCCUUUAAAAAAAAACACAUAAAGACACAAGCAAGGCUCAGAGUGAGGAAUCAUCACCUGAGGGUAUGUUCUACCAGCAGAGAACAUAAUAAGAAGUCACGCUGUUGCUUACUUGACUACAGUGGGGGUUCACUGUCUUUUAGGAGGCCGUCGUAAACUAAACAUCACGUCCUGAGGCGAAAAGGAUCAUACAGACACUGACUUUAAGGCGCACAACAAAAAACAAAGGUCACCUGGAGGGAAAACUCCCAAAUACAGCAAAUAAAGCAGCUGUGCACCUUCCGCCCAGCCCCAAAGGAGAAGUAGAGUUUGUAGACAAAACCAGACUUCAAAAGACGAGUGAGGAAUACGACCCAUAGCUGGGAUUGGCACCAGCGACCCUCAUGUGGAGGAUAAAGUGGCAGAAGAUGAGUGAGUAAAUCACCUUUCAUUCCAUAAGAUGUUUUUUGUAAACGAGUAGUUUACCUAAUGUAGUAUUUCUGAUAUACACCUACCACAACUUAAAUGUAUUUCACUGGUCACUGCAGUGUUAAUUUAAACAACAUGUGUUUCUGAAACAGCCAAAUCCCUAUAUAAUUGAGUACAUUUACGUAUAGGGUUUAAAGGCAAACAUCUACCCAUAGGAAGAAGGGAUAACAAUGAACCUUCUACAUUCAACCUGAUGGAAAAAAAAGGCACAGCUUUCUCUCUCUAUUUUCAUUGCCAGCACAAUAAACUGCAGGGCCACACAACAUACUGAAUAAUUAAAGGUGUUUGGAUGUGUUUGCACUCUUAUUGAAGAGAAUAGUCCCAGGUAGAAUAUUGUUUUCACCCAUGAGUGGAAAACCUUGGUGUCACUGAGUGUUUUGCUGAUGUAUUAUUUCUCUGCAGCUUCAGGCCCGGGCUCACCUUGUUAAAAAAAAAAGAAAAAAGUAUAAUGAUUCCAUGAGGUAAAUAAUUCAGAGUUACAUUCCUGCUUCAUCCCAUCAGAAGUCAACUGAGGUCCAAAAACAUACAGUAAGUGCAGACUCUGCAUCGGCAGAGCUGCAUCAUUCAAUCGUCUUCUUAUUCCUUUGAUGAAGUGGCAGCAAAAGACAGUGGAGGUGCACAGCAGGGUCAACGUUUCUGUUUUUAGAAAUGUCACCUAAAUAACACUUCAGCUUGAACAGGUGCUCAGCAGGUCAAACCUCAAAGGAAGACAUGUUUCAAAAAAAUACACACCAUCCUGUGUUUACAUUAAGAUUCAGCUGCUGCACUUGAUAAUUAUCAGAGAAUGGAUCAAAUGACUAAGUAUAGUAAUGAUGCUGAUGUCACUCUCAUAUAGCAGCUACGGAGUCAUUAGAUAUUUUAUGAAUAACAAACAAUAGUGGCAACAACAGUGCUUAUUUGGGCAUUAAAUAAGUGGCGACUGGUUGUGAUGUCACCCGUAAGAAUCUGGACGAUAGCAACUGUCAAUCACACUAGAGGACUAUAUGAUUUUUUUUUAUAUACAGUCCAUGGGCUAACCUGCUAUUUGUGCAGGUUUGUAAUGGUUUAAAUUGAGGAGGUGAUUAUUGUAUGUCAUGUGAUGACAUGUCCAUCAAAUGGACUUCAUGUGCUAACAAUAUGUCAAUGUUGUUUUCACAGGUUUCUCUGGACGCGGCGAACAUGUACAGUACAGCUACAGAUGCUGCUCCUCUGCGUAUCUUCAAAGUUCGCAACUCGUUGUGGGAACACUGGUGUCGGCGCGUUCACGCCGCCCCAAAAGGGACAAUUCCCAAGCAGCACCUUCUAUAUUUGAGUUGCGUAUGCCCUGCUGAGUUUCCAAUUUGUCUGGCUUAAUCGUUGGCGGUUGAGCUUCCAGCUGGGCGAAAGGAAGGCCGACUCGACCGCAUCAGAGGGGACGGCAAGUUUAAGGAGUGCCCGACAUCAGAGGCCGUGCGGGCCACUGACAGCUGAACAGAAGCACACGGUGCCACAUUUGGCUUUUAGUUUAGUGUGCAGUUCCCCUCAAUGUAUCCCAGCACUAUGAUUAUCUCUGUCACCGCUGCCUUACAAUGGAACAAAGAGGAUUGUUUUCUCAGGAUAGCUUUGGGAAACUGUAGCCCAGAGGUUUAACUGCCGAUGAAUGAGGAGAAUCACGCUCAUAAUUUGGGAAGGGCAAGGGCGUCCAGGCCUUGUGGAAUAAAAAAAGGGAAAAGUUUCUUAAUGAAGGAGACGCUCUGGGAAUUUUCUCUGCGCUGCGUGCCUCUGCAUUUCCUCAGCGAACCCCGUCAGUGUCCUCAUGGUCACCCCUCCGCAGCUGGAGCAUGUGCUCCACAGCUAAAGGGUUUACUGGCAGAAGAAAACCACCACAAAGUGGAGAGAAAAGAGCAGGGUACCCCUCUAACCACAGAGCAUUUGUCCACAUGCUGCUCCAGUCAGUAUAAACACAUGCACAGGAACUUCGUGUGCACGUGAAGACGCACAAACUCCAUUCUCAUCUUGAACUCUUUUUGUGUGUGUGUGUGUGGGGAUUCUCUUUGCUGCACAGAAGGUUAGACAAGCAUGUGGAGUAAAUAAAAGACUUUAAAUUUAGGAGUAGGCAAGCCCAGAGAUUAGAGAAGCUGACUUAAAGAUGCAAUAUGUAACAUUUUUGAAUAAAAUUAUAUAAAAACAGCUCAUGUUAUCAGCCAGUGUUUUAGGUGUAGCUCCAUAGAAAUAAAUAUUUCAAAAUUC